AACGCUGGCGGCAUGCCUAACACAUGCAAGUCGAACGGAGAAUCCUUCGGGGAUUCUUAGUGGCGAACGGGUGAGUAACGCGUAGGCAACCUGCCUCAAAGAGGGGGACAACAGUUGGAAACGACUGCUAAUACCGCAUGAUGUAUCGGGAGGCAUCUUCCUGAUACCAAAGAUUUAUCGCUUUGAGAUAGGCUCAUGUCUGAUUAGCUAGUUGGUGAGGUAACGGCUCACCAAGGCUGCGAUCAGUAGCCGGACUGAGAGGUUGAACGGCCACAUUGGGACUGAGACACGGCCCAAACUCCUACGGGAGGCAGCAGUGGGGAAUCUUCCGCAAUGGGCGAAAGCCUGACGGAGCAACGCCGCGUGAGUGAAGAAGGUUUUCGGAUCGUAAAGCUCUGUUGUCAGGGACGAGAGAGUCUGUCAGGAAAUGGGCAGGCUAGGACGGUACCUGGCGAGAAAGCCACGGCUAACUACGUG
rnacentral:rRNA from 1 species